GUGGAAAAUGUUUUUUAAAAGAAACGAUAGAAUCGGCCACACGCAGCGACAGGGGCAGGGCAUUCCACAAUUUGGGAGCAACUGCCUGAAAGGAGCGGUCUCCCUGAGUUUUAAGGCGGGUUUUUGGGACCAUCAGGAGAUUUUGACCUGAGGAACGAA